CAGUAGCCACGGUAAUACAGAGGUUGCGAGCGUUAAUCGGAUUUACUGGGCGUAAAGCGUGCGUAGGCGGCUUUUUAAGUCGGAUGUGAAAUCCCUGAGCUUAACUUAGGAAUUGCAUUCGAUACUGGGAAGCUAGAGUAUGGGAGAGGAUGGUAGAAUUCCAGGUGUAGCGGUGAAAUGCGUAGAGAUCUGGAGGAAUACCGAUGGCGAAGGCAGCCAUCUGGCCUAAUACUGACGCUGAGGUACGAAAGCAUGGGGAGCAAACAGGAUUAGAGACCCCAGUAGUCCCUGUCUCUUAUAC
rnacentral:rRNA from 1 species